AACCGUCCCAGGUUUUCUCGUCCCAGGUCUUCUCAUCCCGGGUUUCGGCACCAACUCUUACCCACGUUCGCGACCGGCCAGGAAGGACGCAACAAACCGGAAUCUUCUGCGGCAAAAGCUUUAUUGCUUACAUCUUCAGGAGCCAGAGAGCAAGAGCGCUAGAGUGCAAGAGCCAGAGCAAGAGAGCAAAAAGAACAAGAAAGCAAGAGAAAGAAUGGCAAAACCCCGUCCCUUUUAAGAAUUAUCCUCCGCCUAGGACGUAUUACUCCCUGAUUGGCUGCAGCCCAUUGGCCCAGUUGUCAUCACGAGAAAGGCAGAACACAUGGCGGGAAAACUGCCCCUGCACGUGUGCAGAUUAUGUUUACCACUUAGAACACAGCUGUCAGUGCCAUCUUAUAAUGGCAAAUGUGAGGGCGGCUUCCCACAUGGAAUGGAUGGUCUGUGAACAAGGAACAAGGAAGCACAUCACAAGCAUAUCACUAAUCCCACCUGGAGUCAGCCCUGCAUGGAGUGAACUCUCUUGACCUGCCCCAACUUCUUCAUUCUCCAGAACAAGCCUUGCAACUAAGGAAGCCUUUUGAUGGAAUCUUCUUCUUUCAGCACCUCUUGGGAGGUGUCACAAUCUAAAGAAGAACACUGAGACCAGUUUUAAAAUGUAGCCUAAGAAGGAAUGUGCCGAAUUGUGUGUAUUCACUUGUACAUGCAUGAGUGUGUGUGUGUGUGUGUGUGUGUGUGUGUGUGUGUGUGUGUGAUGGGUAUACCCACUCAUGCAAGUG
rnacentral:lncRNA from 1 species